rnacentral:rRNA from 1 species
UAGGGAAUCUUCCACAAUGGACGAAAGUCUGAUGGAGCAACGCCGCGUGAGUGAAGAAGGUUUUCGGAUCGUAAAGCUCUGUUGUUGGUGAAGAAGGAUAGAGGCAGUAACUGGUCUUUAUUUGACGGUAAUCAGCCAGAAAGUCACGGCUAACUACGUGCCAGCAGCCGCGGUAAUACGUAGGUGGCAAGCGUUGUCCGGAUUUAUUGGGCCGUAAAGCGAGCGCAGGCGGAAUGAUAAGUCUGAUGUGAAAGCCCACGGCUCAACCGUGGAACUGCAUCGGAAACUGUCAUUCUUGAGUGCAGAAGAGGAGAGUGGAACUCCAUGUGUAGCGGUGGAAUGCGUAGAUAUAUGGAAGAACACCAGUGGCGAAGGCGGCUCUCUGGUCUGCAACUGACGCUGAGGCUCGAAAGCAUGGGUAGCGAACAGGAUUAGAUACCCUGGUAGUCCAUGCCGUAAACGAUGAGCGCUAGGUGUUGGGGACUUCCCGGUCCUCAGUGCCGCAGCAAACGCAU